rnacentral:lncRNA from 1 species
AUGUUAGUUGAGGUUGUUGUAUUCAUCACCUGAUGCUGCAUUGCAAAAUGCAGGCUGAUCGGGAUUGUUAUUCUUUUAUCCCUAUUUGAAUAAAAUAUUACUUAUAAAAAAAAAAAAAAUUCGUCCAUCGUUAUUAUCAGGAUAAAAUUAAAAUGAGAGUAGCUAGAUAGUGAGACAAUCCCCGCCAUUGAAACUCCAAUUACCAUAGUCAUCAGUCGGUGUUCUCUCCCUAAUCUCUUACCCCGCUAUUGCUGCAAUUCCCUCCUCAGUCGUUGUUCUCUCCCUACUUCCCUACUCCUUCUGCUUCAUAAUUCUCCCGUUUUGCUACAAUUCCCUCCUCAGUCGGUGUUCUUUCUUAUAUUUGUUCUUAACCUUAAUUACAAAUUGUCUAUAUCGUCUUCUCGAUGCAGUUUGGAGGUUGUUUGUUCUUCCGCCUCCCAUAUCUUCUUUCAUUUUUUGUAUUGAUAUAGACUCGGUUGAACAUAUUAUCAGUCUUUUCCUAUCUAUCUAUCUUAUUAGAUCGUUCGCUUACUUCUUCAUCAUUAAUUAAAAAAAAAAAAUUUAUUUAUCAAAUGUUUCUACAAAAAAUUUAUUUAUCAAAUGUUUCUACUAUAGGUACUAUUGUGUUAUAAAUUUGUUCUUCUACUUACAAAAAUAAAAUGAAUUUCUUUUAUAUUUAGUUUUCUUUUUUUAAUAAUCUCUUCUAUGCUGUAUUUUUCUGAUAUUGAUCUUUCUCUUAUAUAUUUUUUUGGAUACAGGAUCGGUGCCUCUGGUAUGGACUUGCUUAGUAAAGCAAAGGUGGGUUUUCGUUAAUUAAUUUGCACCUUCUCCACUAUUAAAAAAAAAUGCCCCCAAUCUUACCGCCUUCAUCUCUAUAUAUAUCUCUGAUCGUCUCUAUUUGUUCUUUUUCAGGUUGACUAGCCAAGACAUAUUUCCCUACAACUCUUUUUCAGGUUGACUAACCACUCUGAUCAUAUUUAAUCUCUCCUGUUACUUUCUUUUCCUUAAUUUUCUUUUCUUUACUAAUGUAGUACUUUUCUUUCUUUAUUUCUUUGUUCUCAAAUUGGUAGUGUUUGUUCUAAAAUCUGUAUGGCAUUAACUGAAAUUAUCCGGCAGUCACAUUUAAACAAAACUACCCUUUCAUUUUCUGUCAAUACCCUUUCAAUACCCCUCCACAUAUAAUUUUCAAUACCCUUUCAGAUAUAAUUUUCUGUCAAUACCCUUUCAUUUUCUGUCAAGUUGUUUCUGUUAAACAAAAGCAACUUCACAGAAAAUGACGUCAACAAUAAUGUUGAAUGUUAUUAAAUCUUUCCAGUUGUAUGUUCUUAAAUCUUUUAAUAAAUAUCUCUCUAUAAUUUUGUAGUUGCAAUCACCUCAACCAUUUGCAGUUGCUCCGCAGUUUCUUCCGCGUCCCUCGCAUUCACCUCAGGUUCUUCCCAACUUAUUCGUUCCUGUAUUUAUAUAUAAUAUACAUACAUGAGCCUCUAGAUUUUCCUAUAUGAUCUCUGGCCUUUUAGGUUGUUUUUAUAUAUAUUUACUUUCACAUGACUCUGUCUUCAUUUGAAUCAACUUUUAGAUUUGGUAUAUGAUAUAUAUACUUGAACCUUUAGAUUUGGUCUUGAAUAUAUUUCCCUACAACUCUUUUUCAGGUUGACUAACCACUCUGAUCAUAUUUAAUCUCUCCUGUUACUUUCUUUUCCUUAAUUUUCUUUUCUUUACUAAUGUAGUACUCUUCUUUCUUUAUUUCUUUGUUCUCAAAUUGGUAGUGUUUGUUCUAAAAUCUGUAUGGCAUUAACUGAAAUUAUCCGGCAAUCACAUUUAAACAAAACUACCAAUAUUAGCAUCAUGUUAACCUGUUACAUGUUUAUGUCAAUACCCUGUGAUUAUGUCAAUCCUAUCCUGUCAAUACCCUUUCAUUUUCUGUCAAGUUGUUUCUGUUAAACAAAAGCAACUUCACAGA